rnacentral:misc_RNA from 1 species
AGCAGCCGCGGUAAUUCCAGCUCCAAUAGCGUAUACUAAAGUUGUUGCAGUUAAAAAGCUCGUAGUUGAAUUUCGGGAUUGACACAUCGGUCGUGCCUUAAGGGGUAUGAACUGGUGUAGUCAAUUUCUCACCUUCUGGAGAACCGCGAUGCCCUUAAUUGGGUGUCGCGGGGAACCAGGACCUUUACUUUGAAAAAAUUAGAGUGUUUAAAGCAGGCAUUUUGCUUGAAUACAUUAGCAUGGAAUAAUAAAAUAGGACGGCAUGAUUCUAUUUUGUUGGUUUCUAGGAUCACCGUAAUGAUUAAUAGGGAUAGUUGGGGGCAUUAGUAUUCAAUUGUCAGAGGUGAAAUUCUUGGAUUUAUUGAAGACUAACUACUGCGAAAGCAUUUGCCAAGGAUGUUUUCAUUAAUCAAGAACGAAAGUUAGGGGAUCGAAGACGAUCAGAUACCGUCGUAGUCUUAACCAUAAACUAUGCCGACUAGGAAUCAGACGAUGUUAAUUUUUUAAUGACUCGUUUGGU